rnacentral:tRNA from 1 species
GGGUGUCGUGGACAUCAGCGGGCAUCGGCGGACGCCGCUUCCCGGUCUUACAAACCGGGUCGCUGGUUCGAACCCAGCUGCGCCCA